CUUUAUUCGAGCAUGUGCAACAGCAUUUUAUGGAAAUCUGUUAACACUCCUCCUUGCCUUAAUAGCUGAAGAGACCUAGUUUGUUUCUUAACUCUUCAAAUCUGACUCUUGAUAAGGAUUUGGUAAAUAUAUCUGCCACUUGAUUCUCAGUUCUGCAAUAAAGUAGAUUAACCUCUCCUCUUUUUCUUUUUAUUUUUUUAUUUGUACCUCUCUUAAGUAAUAUAACUUAAUGUUGAAGUGCUUAGUCCUCUCAUGAAAAAUCGAAUUAUUUGCAAUCGAAAUUGUAGCUUGGUUGUUUAUAUGAAUCUGUGUUGGCAUAUCUUUCUCUAUGCAUAAAUCUGCAAGCAAUUUUCUGAUCCAUAUUGUUUGAUUCACAGCAGCAGUUGCUGCUACAUACGCUUCUGCUGUGCUUUGAACUACUAUGUCUUGUUUCUUUGAACUCCAUGAGAACGUUCCUGAUCCAAAACUGAAACCGAAAACAGUUGUACUCCUCAUAUCAUCAACAGAACCUGCCCAGUCACUAUCAGCAAAUCCAUGAAACAUAAAAUUUUGACAGUAACUGUAUUUGAUGCCAUAGUUCAUUGUCCCUUUGAUAUAUCUUAUAAAUCUCUUUGCAGCCUGAAAAUGUACUUCACUGCCACAGUGCAUGAACCUUGAAAGUAAACUCACAGUAAACAUGAUGUCAGGUUUAGUUGCUGUAAGAUACCCCAGGCAACCAAUCAAGCUGCUGUAGAGUCCUUCGUCAUCCUUGUCUGCUCCAUCAUUCUUGCUGAACUUUUCCUUUUGAUUUAAUGGUGUACUUGUACUCUUGCAGUCUUCCAUGCGAAAUUUUCUAAGUACUUCCUUUGCAUAUUUCUUUUGACAUAUGAAGACUCCAUCAUGACUUUGCUUCACUUCCAUUCCCAGAAAAUAGGACAUUAACCCAAGAUCAAGAUCUGUCAUCUAAAAAACUUUGAGCAUUUCACCUUUAAAUUCUUGUAUCAGCUUCUCAUCACUGCCCGUUACAAGUAAAUCAUCAACAUAAAUAGAAACUAAGUUCAUAUUAGCAUCUGUUCCUUUUAUAUACAAGGUGACCUCACUUGGACUUUUAACAAAAUUGGGACUUUGCAAGUGUUCAUCAAUCCUGCCGUACCAAGCUCUAGGAGCCUGUUUAAGACCAUGCAAUGCUUUCUUUAACAAGUAGACCUUCUCCUCUUGUCCCUUGACUUGAAAACCUUCAGGUUGCUCUAUAAAUAUCUCCUCCUGCAAAUAACCAUUUAAAAAGGCAAAUUUUACAUCCAAGUGGUAAACUUUCCAUCCCUUCCGUGCUGUCAAGGCAAGCAACAUUCUGAUUGUAUCAAGUCAUGCUAUUGGAGCAAAAGUCUCUAACAAAUCUAUUCCAAACACUUGAGCAUAUCCUUUCACAGCUAAUCUAGCUUUGCAUUUGUUUAUAGAACCAUCUGCAUUAAAUUUGGUUCCAUAAACCCAUUUGACUCCUAUAGGCUUUUUGUGUUGAGGUUUGGCUAUCAACUCCCACUUAUCCUUCUUUUCAAUCAUUUUGAGCUCCUCUUUCAUGGCUUCAAUCCAUUUGUCAUCCUUCUCCGCCUCCUUAAAUUCUGCAGGCUAAAAAAUAGCAAUAUUACAUCUUUCAUAAAUAUCAGAUAAUGACCUUAUACCUCUGACUGGUUCAUCAUCUAUGUUAUCACCAAAGCUUUGUCGAAUUUUUGAUUGUUGCUUGUCUAUCGAACCCUCUCAAUUCCAUUGUCUAUCUUCCAUGAACUUGACAUUUCUACUUACAAGAAUUUUUCCAUUUUGAGGUUGUAAAAUCUUGUAAGCGUUGGAUGAGUUGCUAUAUCCAAUAAAAACUCCUGGUUCUGCAUUCUUGUCAAGUUUGUCUCUUUUCACCUGUGGCACGUAAGAAAAACAGAGGCAAUCGAAAGUUCUUAAAUGUUGCAAGUCUGGUUUAUAACCAAACCAAGCUUCAAAUAGAGUUUUUCUGCAGAACUCUGGUUGAUCGUCUAUUUAGCAAAUAAACUGCAGUGUUUGCAGCUUCUGCCCAUAGUUUCUUAGAUAGCUCCUUUUCGUGCAACAUACAGCUUGUCAUUUCCAUAAUACUUCUGUUUUUUCUUUCACUUACACUGUUCUGCUGUGGAGUAUAUGGUGUUUUGAACUAAUGUUCAAUACCUGCUUCAUCACAUAAUUUUUUACAACUAUCACAAGUGUAUUCCUUCCCAUUAUCUGACCUUAUUAUCUGCAUCCUGCAACCACUUUGAUUCUCCACCCAUGUUUUAUAAGACCGAGAUACAUUAGCAACCUCCUAUUUAAAUUUGAGGAAAUAAAUCCAACAUAAUCUGGUAUAAUCAUCAAUAAAUGCAAUAUAGUAUUUAUUGCCAUUUAAAGAAGACAUUUUUUGAUGUCCUCCAACAUAUGUGUAUAUUAGUUGAAGCUUGGGUGUUGCUCUCCAUGUAGUUUGAGGGAAAGGUCUUCUAGCUUGUUUACCAUAUUGACAAGCCACACAAUCAGAUAAUCUGUUUUCCAGCAACGGUAGCCCUUUCACCAGAUUGUGUUUCUGCAUAUAUAGAAGUCCAGCAUGAUGGAAAUGCCCAAGCCUUCUGUGCCAUAAUUCUUC
rnacentral:lncRNA from 1 species